UACGAAGGGGGCUAGCGUUGCUCGGAAUCACUGGGCGUAAAGCGCACGUAGGCGGAUUGCUAAGUCAGGGGUGAAAUCCUGGAGCUCAACUCCAGAACUGCCUUUGAUACUGGUGAUCUUGAGUCCGGGAGAGGUGAGUGGAACUGCGAGUGUAGAGGUGAAAUUCGUAGAUAUUCGCAAAGAACACCAGUGGCGAAGGCGGCUCACUGGCCCCGGUACUGACGCUGAGGUG
rnacentral:rRNA from 1 species